rnacentral:rRNA from 1 species
UAGGGAAUCUUCGGCAAUGGACGAAAGUCUGACCGAGCAACGCCGCGUGAGUGAAGAAGGUUUUCGGAUCGUAAAACUCUGUUGUUAGAGAAGAACAAGGACGUUAGUAACUGAACGUCCCCUGACGGUAUCUAACCAGAAAGCCACGGCUAACUACGUGCCAGCAGCCGCGGUAAUACGUAGGUGGCAAGCGUUGUCCGGAUUUAUUGGGCGUAAAGCGAGCGCAGGCGGUUUCUUAAGUCUGAUGUGAAAGCCCCCGGCUCAACCGGGGAGGGGCAUUGGAAACUGGGAGACUUGAGUGCAGAAGAGGAGAGUGGAAUUCCAUGUGUAGCGGUGAAAUGCGUAGAUAUAUGGAGGAACACCAGUGGCGAAGGCGGCUCUCUGGUCUGUAACUGACGCUGAGGCGCGAAAGCGUGGGGAGCAAACAGG